UACGUAGGGUGCAAGCGUUGUCCGGAAUUAUUGGGCGUAAAGAGCUCGUAGGCGGUUUGUUGCGUCGGCUGUGAAGUCCCGAAGCUCAACCUCGGGUCUGCAGUCGAUACGAGCAAACUAGAGUGUUGCAGGGGAGACUGGAAUUCCUGGUGUAGCGGUGAAAUGCGCAGAUAUCAGGAGGAACACCGGUGGCGAAGGCGGGUCUCUGGGCAACAACUGACGCUGAGGAGCGAAAGCGUGGGGAGCGAACAGG
rnacentral:rRNA from 1 species